GGGGCCCGCACAAGCGGUGGAGCAUGUGGUUUAAUUCGAAGCAACGCGAAGAACCUUACCUACUCUUGAAAUCCAGUGAACUUAGCAGAGAUGCUUUGGUGCCUUCGGGAACACUGAGACAGGUGCUGCAUGGCUGUCGUCAGCUCGUGUUGUGAAAUGUUGGGUUAAGUCCCGUAACGAGCGCAACCCCUAUCCCUAGUUGCUAGCAGUUCGGCUGAGAACUCUAGGGAGACUGCCGGUGACAAACCGGAGGAAGGUGGGGAUGACGUCAGGUCAUCAUGGCCCUUACGGCCAGGGCUACACACGUGCUACAAUGGUGGUAACAGAGGGUUAAUCCCUAAAAACCAUCUCAGUUCGGAUUGUCGUCUGCAACUCGACGGCAUGAAGUCGGAAUCGCUAGUAAUCGCGUAACAGCAUGACGCGGUGAAUACGUUCCCGGGCCUUGUACACACCGCCCGUCACACCAUGGGAGUUGGGUUUACCCGAAGGCAGUGCGCUAACCGCAAGGGGGCAGCUGACCACGGUAGGC
rnacentral:rRNA from 1 species